rnacentral:misc_RNA from 1 species
GAUGAAGAACGCAGCGAAAUGCGAUACUUGGUGUGAAUUGCAGAAUCCCGUGAACCAUCGAGUCUUUGAACGCAAGUUGCGCCCGAAGCCACUAGGCCGAGGGCACGCCUGCCUGGGCGUCACACGCCGUUGCCCCCCCAUCUACUCCUUCGGGAUUGCGGGGGGGCGGAUGAUGGCCUCCCGUGCGCCUAGCCGCGCGGUUGGCAUAAAUACCAAGUCCUCGGCGACGCACGCCACGACAAUCGGUGGUUGCGAAACCUCGGUUGCCCGUCGUGUGCGUUCGUCGCGCAUCGAGGGCUCGAAAAAAUGCUCGGCUCCGGCUGGGCUUUCAACGCGACCCCAGGUCAGGCGGGGUUACCCGCUGAAUUUAAGCAUAUCAAAAAGCGGAGGA